rnacentral:rRNA from 1 species
GACGAACGCUAGCGGCGUGCUUAACACAUGCAAGUCGAACGGAAAGACCCUGCUUUUGUGGGGUGCUCGAGUGGCGAACGGGUGAGUAACACGUGAGUAACCUGCCCUUGACUUUGGGAUAACUUCAGGAAACUGGGGCUAAUACCGGAUAGGAGCUCCUGCUGCAUGGUGGGGGUUGGAAAGUUUCGGCGGUUGGGGAUGGACUCGCGGCUUAUCAGCUUGUUGGUGGGGUAGUGGCUUACCAAGGCUUUGACGGGUAGCCGGCCUGAGAGGGUGACCGGCCAAUUUGGGAUGGAGCUCGGCCCGAGCCUCCUGGGGGGGGAAGAGGGGGGAAAUAGUGCACAGGGGGGGGAGGCCUGACGCAGCACCGCCGGGGGGGGGGGGCGGGCCGUGGGUUUGAAAACCGCUUUCGCCGGUGAAGAAGGGGGGGUGAGGGAAGGGGGAAAAGAGGCCCCGGCAAACUACAGG